rnacentral:rRNA from 1 species
ACGGGAGGCAGCAGUAGGGAAUAUUGGUCAAUGGGGGAAACCCUGAACCAGCGACGCCGCGUGAGUGAAGAAGUAUUUCGGUAUGUAAAGCUCUAUCAGCAGGGACGAUAAUGACGGUACCUGACUAAGAAGCCCCGGCUAACUACGUGCCAGCAGCCGCGGUAAUACGUAGGGGGCAAGCGUUAUCCGGAUUUACUGGGUGUAAAGGGAGCGUAGGUGGCCAUGCAAGUCAGAUGUGAAAACCCGGGGCUCAACCCCGUGACUGCAUUUGAAACUGCGUGGCUGGAGUACAGGAGAGGUAAGCGGAAUUCCUAGUGGAGCGGUGAAAUGCGUAGAUAUUAGGAAGAACACCGGUGGCGAAGGCGACUUGCUGGACUGAGACUGACGCUGAGGCUCGAAAGCGUGGGGAGCAAACAGGAUUAGAUACCCUGGUA